AGUGAACGCUGGCGGCAGGCCUAAUACAUGCAAGUCGAACGGCAGCACAGUGGAGCUUGCUCCAUGGGUGGCGAGUGGCGGACGGGUGAGGAAUACAUGGGAAUCUGCCCAGUCGUGGGGGAUAACGUAGGGAAACUUACGCUAAUACCGCAUGCGCCCUUCGGGGGAAAGCCGGGGACCUUCGGGCCUGGCGCGAUUGGAUGAGCCCAUGUUCGAUUAGCUAGUUGGCGGGGUAAAGGCCCACCAAGGCGACGAUCGAUAGCUGGUCUGAGAGGAUGAUCAGCCACACUGGGACUGAGACACGGCCCAGACUCCUACGGGAGGCAGCAGUAGGGAAUAUUGGACAAUGGGCGCAAGCCUGAUCCAGCCAUGCCGUGUGAGUGAAGAAGGCCCUCGGGUUGUAAAGCUCUUUUGUCCGGGAAGAAAAGCAUCGGGCUAAUACCUCGGUGUUCUGACGGUACCGGAAGAAUAAGCACCGGCUAACUUCGUG
rnacentral:rRNA from 1 species